rnacentral:rRNA from 1 species
CCUACGGGUGGCAGCAGUAGGGAAUCUUUCACACUGGGCGAAAGCCUGAUGGAGCAACGCCGCGUGCAGGAUGAAGGCCUUCGGGUUGUAAACUGCUUUUAUAAGCGAGAAAUAUGAUGGUAACUUAUGAAUAAGUAUCGACUAACUACGUGCCAGCAGCCGCGGUCAUACGUAGGAUCCGAGCAUUAUCCGGAGUGACUGGGUGUAAAGAGUUGCGUAGGUGGCAUAAUAAGUAGCUAGUGAAAUCUGGUGGCUCAACCAUUCAGACUAUUAGCUAAACUGUUAAGCUCGAGACCGUUAGGGGUAACUGGAAUUUCUAGUGUAGGAGUGAAAUCCGUAGAUAUUAGAAGGAACACCAAUAGCGUAGGCAGGUUGCUGGGACGGUUCUGACACUAAGGCACGAAAGCGUAGGGAGCAAACGGGAUUAGAUACCCCUGUAGUC